GGACCACUGAGGGGGUUUUGGGGGGACCCGGGCCCACUGAGGAGGUUCUGGGGGUCCCAGGUCCAUUCAGGAGGUUCUGGGGGUCCCAGGUCCAUUCAGGAGGUUCUGGGGAGUCCCAGGACCACUGAGGAGGUUCUGGGGAGUCCCAGGCCCAUUCAGGAGGUUUUGGGGGUCCCAGGCCCAUUCAGGAGGUUUUGGGGGAACCCAGGCCCAUUCAGGAGGUUCUGGGGGUCCCGGGCCCACUGAGGCGGUUUUGGGACAGCCCCAGGCUGGGAAAGCGGGGUUCGGGUGGGUUUUGGGGGGAUACAAGCCCGGCAGAGGGAGGAGGAGUUGCGGGCCCGGCCGGGAUCUGGCGGGAGGAUUUGGGGUGUCCCCGCUUUAGGAAUUUUGGUGUGGGAAUAAUUAACCCUUUAGUGACGAAAUGAGGCUUUUCUGCUUUAUUUAGGGGGUGGGUUUGGGGGUGCUCAGCCACGACCCCUCCCCAUCAAAACUCACAAACCCCCCCCCAAAGGCUGGGGUGAGUCCGAGUGCCCCCCCAGCCCUGCGGGGGGACAGGGGAGCGCGAUGGGGACGGGGGUUGGGACAAAGGGGGGGACACACUCCCAGAGCCCCCCCGGACCCCCCCAGCUCACCUGGCUGUCCGUGCCCGCCUGGAUCCCGCCCGGAGCCCCCAAACGCUGCGCUCAGAGCCGGGCGCCCCCCAGGACCCCUCCCCGCAGCCAGGGCUGCCCCCGGCCCAGCCCCUCGGAAGAAAGAGCCCCUUUGACGGAGCCCCCCCGGCAGGCGGGGGGGGAGGAAGGCUCGGGGGCCCUGCGGAACAAGGGCAGCCAUUGAUGGAGCGGGACAGGGGCGGCACCGAGGGCUCGGCCCCGCCGCUGGGGAGGGGUCCCCGCGUGUCCCCCGCCAUGGGGAGGGGGCACAGAGUGGGCACAGCCGCCCCCUCCCCCCGGACACCCGUCACCAGCCAGGGGCGCGGGCUGGGGGGCUCAUAGUGGGGCACCCCCACACUGGGACCCUCUGCCCCAGUUUUGGGGGUCUCCUUGUGCUCACCCCACUCCCCAACUCUCUCUUUUGGGGGUCACUCUGAGCUGAGCCCCCCCAAGCUGCCCCCCAGCCCUUCCUCCCCUCGAGCCCCCCAGAUCUGGGGACACAGACCCCCCACCCAAGCCCCUUCCUUUGGGGGGUCCCGGCCGCUCUGCCCCCCCCGGCCCAUCCCAACCUCCCGCUGGGGGUGGGGGGUGGAUCCCCCCUUCCUUCCUCCCCCUCCUCACCCCGGGAUGGGGCUGGGGGAGGAGGAGGAGGAGGAGGAGGAGGAGGAGGAGGACGGGCCGGGAGCGGAGCGCAGAACUCGCCGGGAGCAGAGCGGGAUCAGCCGGGAAGAGAGCGGGAUCCGGGAUGAGGAAUUCCCACCAUCGCCCACCCAGGACCCCCCCCGAGCCCCCCGAGAAGCGGCGCAGAGCAGCCCGAGGUUGGUUGGAUCAUUUCACAUGCCUUUAUUUCAGCAGUCAGGAAAAAAAAAAAAA